UGUUGGUUCUCCCGCAACGCUACUCUGUUUACCAGGUCAGGUCCGGAAGGAAGCAGCCAAGGCAGAUGACGCGUGUGCAGGGAUGUAGCUGGCAGGG
rnacentral:SRP_RNA from 1 species